rnacentral:rRNA from 1 species
AUACGGAGGGUGCAAGCGUUAUUCGGAAUCACUGGGCGUAAAGGACGCGUAGGCGGGUUGGCAAGUCAGAUGUGAAAUCCUACAGCUUAACUGUAGAACUGCAUUUGAAACUGCUAACCUAGAGUAUGGGAGGGGGAGAUGGAGUUAGUGGUGUAGGGGUAAAAUCCGUAGAUAUCACUAGGAAUACCGAAAGCGAAGGCGAUCUCCUGGAACAUAACUGACGCUAAGGCGUGAAAGCGUGGGGAGCAAACAGGAUUAGAUACCCUAGUAGUCC